CAGCAGCCGCGGGAAUACGUAGGGUCCGAGCGUUGUCCGGAAUUAUUGGGCGUAAAGGGCUCGUAGGCGGUUUGUUGCGUCGGGAGUGAAAACCCAGGGCUUAACUUUGGGCUUGCUUUCGAUACGGGCAGACUUGAGGCAUUGAGGGGAGAACGGAAUUCCUGGUGUAGCGGUGAAAUGCGCAGAUAUCAGGAGGAACACCGGUGGCGAAGGCGGUUCUCUGGCAAUGUUCUGACGCUGAGGAGCGAAAGUGUGGGGAGCGAACAGGAUUAGAUACCCCCGUAGUCCCUGUCUCUUAUAC
rnacentral:rRNA from 1 species